CCUACGGGUGGCAGCAGUGAGGAAUAUUGGUCAAUGGACGAGAGUCUGAACCAGCCAAGUAGCGUGAAGGAUGACUGCCCUAUGGGUUGUAAACUUCUUUUAUAUGGGAAUAAUAUGUUCUACGUGUGGGCUUUUGUAUGUACCAUAUGAAUAAGGAUCGGCUAACUCCGUGCCAGCAGCCGCGGUAAUACGGAGGAUCCGAGCGUUAUCCGGAUUUAUUGGGUUUAAAGGGAGCGUAGGUGGAUUGUUAAGUCAGUUGUGAAAGUUUGCGGCUCAACCGUAAAAUUGCAGUUGAAACUGGCAGUCUUGAGUACAGUAGAGGUGGGCGGAAUUCGUGGUGUAGCGGUGAAAUGCUUAGAUAUCACGAAGAGCUCCGAUUGCGAAGGCAGCUCACUGGACUGCAACUGACACUGAGGCUCGAGAGUGUGGGUAUCAAACAGGAUUAGAUACCCCUGUAGUC
rnacentral:rRNA from 1 species